rnacentral:rRNA from 1 species
AGAUUAAGUUAUUAAGGGCGCACGGUGGAUGCCUUGGCACUAGAAGCCGAUGAAGGACGUUACUAACGACGAUAUGCUUUGGGGAGCUGUAAGUAAGCUUUGAUCCAGAGAUUUCCGAAUGGGGAAACCCAGCAUGAGUUAUGUCAUGUUAUCGAUAUGUGAAUACAUAGCAUAUCAGAAGGCACACCCGGAGAACUGAAACAUCUUAGUACCCGGAGGAAGAGAAAGAAAAUUCGAUUCCCUUAGUAGCGGCGAGCGAAACGGGAAGAGCCCAAACCAACAAGCUUGCUUGUUGGGGUUGUAGGACACUCUAUACGGAGUUACAAAGGACGACAUUAGACGAAUCAUCUGGAAAGAUGAAUCAAAGAAGGUAAUAAUCCUGUAGUCGAAAAUGUUGUCUCUCUUGAGUGGAUCCUGAGUACGACGGAGCACGUGAAAUUCCGUCGGAA